rnacentral:rRNA from 1 species
ACUCCUACGGGAGGCAGCAGUGGGGAAUAUUGCACAAUGGGCGAAAGCCUGAUGCAGCGACGCCGCGUGAGGGAUGACGGCCUUCGGGUUGUAAACCUCUUUCAGCAGGGAAGAAGCGCAAGUGACGGUACCUGCAGAAGAAGCACCGGCUAACUACGUGCCAGCAGCCGCGGUAAUACGUAGGGUGCGAGCGUUGUCCGGAAUUAUUGGGCGUAAAGAGCUCGUAGGCGGCCUGUCGCGUCGGAUGUGAAAGCCCGGGGCUUAACCCCGGGUCUGCAUUCGAUACGGGCAGGCUGGAGUGUGGUAGGGGAGAUCGGAAUUCCUGGUGUAGCGGUGAAAUGCGCAGAUAUCAGGAGGAACACCGGUGGCGAAGGCGGAUCUCUGGGCCAUUACUGACGCUGAGGAGCGAAAGCGUGGGGAGCGAACAGGAUUAGAUACCCUGGUAGUCCACGCCGUAAACGUUGGGAACUAGGUGUUGGCGACAUUCCACGUCGUCGGUGCCGCAGCUAACGCAUUAAGUUCCCCGCCUGGGGGAGUACGGCCGCAAGGCUAAAACUCAAAGGAAUUGACGGGGGGCCCGCACAAGCAGCGGAGCAUGUGGCUUAAUUCGACGCAACGCGAAGAACCUUACCAAGGCUUGACAUACACCGGAAACUGGUCAGAGAUAUGAGCCCCCCUUGUGGUCCGGUGUACAGGUGGCUGCAUGGGUUGUCGUCCAGCUCCUUGUCCUGGAGAUGUUACGGGUUAAAGUCCCCGCAACGAGCGCCAACCCCUUGGUUCUGUGUUUGCCAGCGAAGUAAUUGUCCGGGGACUCACAGGGAAAACUGCCGGGGGUCAACUCCGGAGGAAAGGUGGGGGACCAACGUCAAAAUCAUCAUGGGCCCCUUUAAUGUCUUGGGCUUGCCAACGUUGGCUACAAAUUGGCCCGGUACAAAGAGGCUUCCGAAUUCCCUUGGAGGCGGGAAACGAAUCCCCCAAAAAGCCGGUUCUCAAUUUCGGAUUGGGGUCUGCAACUC